AUUGAACGCUGGCGGCAGGCCUAACACAUGCAAGUCGAACGGUAACAGGAAACAGCUUGCUGUUUCGCUGACGAGUGGCGGACGGGUGAGUAAUGUCUGGGAAACUGCCUGAUGGAGGGGGAUAACUACUGGAAACGGUAGCUAAUACCGCAUGACGUCGCAAGACCAAAGAGGGGGACCCUCGGGCCUCUUGCCAUCGGAUGUGCCCAGAUGGGAUUAGCUUGUUGGUGGGGUAACGGCUCACCAAGGCGACGAUCCCUAGCUGGUCUGAGAGGAUGACCAGCCACACUGGAACUGAGACACGGUCCAGACUCCUACGGGAGGCAGCAGUGGGGAAUAUUGCACAAUGGGCGCAAGCCUGAUGCAGCCAUGCCGCGUGUAUGAAGAAGGCCUUCGGGUUGUAAAGUACUUUCAGCGGGGAGGAAGGGAGUAAAGUUAAUACCUUUGCUCAUUGACGUUACCCGCAGAAGAAGCACCGGCUAACUACGUG
rnacentral:rRNA from 1 species